rnacentral:rRNA from 1 species
GGAGGGAGCAAGCGUUGUUCGGAAUUACUGGGCGUAAAGGGCGCGUAGGCGGUUACGUAAGUCGAGUGUGAAAUUCCGGGGCUCAACCCCGCGAACUGCACCCGAUACUGCGUGACUAGAGAAAGGUAGGGGCAAGUGGAAUUCCCGGUGUAGCGGUGGAAUGCGUAGAUAUCGGGAAGAACACCCGUGGCGAAGGCGGCUUGCUGGACCUUUUCUGACGCUGUAGCGCGAAAGCGUGGGGAGCAAACAGGAUUAGAUACCCUGGGUAGUCCACGCCGUAAACGCUGGGUACUAGGUGUUGGGAGGAUUGACCCCUUUUCAGUGCCCGACGCUAACGCAUUAAGUACCCCGCCUGGGGAGUACGGUCGCAGGCUG